rnacentral:tRNA from 1 species
AGGUGAAUAGCUUAAUAGUAGAGCUGCAGUCUUCAAAACUGUUGAUAUCGGUGCAAGUCCGGUUUCGCCUG